GACGAACGCUGGCGGCGUGCUUAACACAUGCAAGUCGAACGGAAAGGCCCUGCUUUUGUGGGGUGCUCGAGUGGCGAACGGGUGAGUAACACGUGAGUAACCUGCCCUUGACUUUGGGAUAACUUCAGGAAACUGGGGCUAAUACCGGAUAGGAGCUCCUGCUGCAUGGUGGGGGUUGGAAAGUUUCGGCGGUUGGGGAUGGACUCGCGGCUUAUCAGCUUGUUGGGGGGGUAGUGGCUUACCAAGGCUUUGACGGGUAGCCGGCCUGAGAGGGUGACCGGCCUCAUGGGGCCUGAGAGACGGCCCAGACGCCAACGGGAGGCAGCAGGCGGGAAUAUUGCACAAUGGGCGGAAGCCUGAUGCAGCAACGCCGCGUGCGGGAUGACGGCCUUCGGGGUGUAAACCGCUUUCGCCGGUGACGAAGCGUGAGUGACGGUAAUGGGUAAAGAAGCACCGGCUAACUACGUG
rnacentral:rRNA from 1 species